rnacentral:rRNA from 1 species
UACGUAGGGUGCGAGCGUUAAUCGGAAUUACUGGGCGUAAAGCGUGCGCAGGCGGUUAUAUAAGACAGUUGUGAAAUCCCCCGGGCUCAACCUGGGAAUUGCAUCUGUGACUGUAUAGCUAGAGUACGGUAGAGGGGGAUGGAAUUCCGCGUGUAGCAGUGAAAUGCGUAGAUAUGCGGAGGAACACCGAUGGCGAAGGCAAUCCCCUGGACCUGUACUGACGCUCAUGCACGAAAGCGUGGGGAGCAAACAGG